GAUUUUUUUUGUUAAAGAACCUGCAUGUUUGGCAAAGCCUGCCCAACCUCCUGCAAGCAGGGGGACACAGAGGUCUCUGGACAACAGCAGGGUUGCCAGUUACUGUUCUGUCUGCUUCCAGACUGCUGCCUACUGCUCAGCCCACCACUACCACCUCUACUGAUUGAGCCAUUGAUUGAUUGAGGUACUGGGGAUUGAACCCAGGGCCUUUGCAUUGAGCUACAUCCCCAGCCUUUUUUAAAAUUUUGAGACAGGGCUCAGAACUUGUGAUCCUCCUGCCUCAGCAUCUCAGAGUACUGGGAUGACAGGUGUGUACCACCAUGCCCUGCUUGCCACCCCUUUUUAUGUCUCAUACACUUCAGUGUCAUGAGGUAGAGCUGACAGUGUAACCAUUUUUCAGAUGAGGAACUCAAGGAUCAGAAAGGCAAAGCAACUUGCCUAUAGCCACCUGGAUUUUUAUCACCACUGACUCUAACCACUGCUCUCCUGCCUCUGCUAAUGGUAUUGAUCCCCAGAGAGAGCCCCUGGUGGGUGUAAGAGAGGACAGUGAAUGAGGCCUUUUAACACUGCGUUUCAUCUCUAGACCCUAGGGAAGGAAGCAUGAGAGCCAGGCAGGUCUUUGGCAGAGGGCACAUCCCUGUGUUACUUCCACAGGCUUUUAGCCCUGGGGUGGACACUGACAUCAUUGGUUCAGCAGAAUGACUCAGGGACCAUGCACCAGGAGAGCUGACUCGUUGGUGACCUGGAGCAGCCCUAGGAACCUCCAGGUUUCUCAUCUGGGGCCCCAUCCAGGCAGGCGCAGCCCCUGGAGAGAUGGCCAAGGUCCACACUCCUGCCUUCAGCAAGGGACAGGCAACACUGCCCAUGACCUGGCACACUGUGUGCACAGCAGCCCCAUUCACGACAGCCCGAGGGGAAGCUGCCCACCAGGAGAGCCACUAACACGCCAUGAGGCCACACAGAGCCUGCCACUCAGCAAGACAGGGAACUGGAGCUGUGACAACAGCAGCACCACAGGUGCUGGGCACUCUGUUUGUAGAAACUUCUAGCACAGGCAGAACUAACUGGUGCUCACAGCAUAGAGUGGGCAGCAUGAGUGGGGACCUUCCUGGGUCCAGGAUUUGCCACGGGGUGAUGUGAGUGGCAGUGACACAGAUACAGGCAGUUGUCAGAACUCAUCCAGCCAUACACUAGGAUCUAUGUGUAACUGUCCAUAAAUUACACCUUACGUUAACAAAAGAAGCUGUGCUUCUGCCCUGGCCCUGGCAGCUCACAGCCAGCGUCUCUAUCCACAUUUCCAAGGGGCACCACAGACACUGAUUCCCAUCCUGGGUGGGCAACACCUGCCUCUCAUGGCUAAAGUCUGGGCAUUCGUCAAGCACUUGUGCACCUGUUUCUCAGCAGAAACCUAACCGGAGUCAAAUCUGGCCUGUACUGGGCAUCACAGGGCCUGCCGUGCCGGGAUGGAGGGCAGGACCCCCUCACAGGGCAGCCAGCAUCCUCCAAGUGCCAGGCACCGGGCAAGACCAGACAGGCCUCUCCGGGUCCUGCCUCCCCAACUGCCCUCCAAAUAACAACGUGGGCUGCAUGUUGUUUUGUCCAUGUGCUUAAUUUUAUGAGAGGAUGCAUCGUGCUGUUCUUCAGAGCCCACAGUCCUCCACAUGUCAACAGGGGGCUGUGCAUCUUUGCGCCAAUGAUGUAAACUCUCUGAGCCUGGACAUGCUGGCACUGUUUUGAGGAUGAAAUUAGUCAAUAGGUUGACACACAGUAAGCCUGAAAUCCUCGCCUGCUGCUAUUUGCUGUGUCGGUGAGGUCACGCAUCUCCCUCAGCUGGGAUCAAGCUGGGCAGGCGCGGGCUGCUGUAGCAUGGGAAGUCAUGUUUCCUGUCUUGGGGAGGUGACAAGUCACUCUCAGGCGCGGCCUAUAGCAGCAGGUAUAGCAUAAAGCUGCUGUGAUCACUGUCCAGGAAAUCUUAAGGUCUAAUAGUAACCACACCCUCCUCGGACUCUCUCCUGUUAAAAGUUCCACACCGCCCCAGGGACAGGCUCCUGGCCAUCUCAUCUGACAACCUGGAAAGGUUAGGGCCAAACUAAACGGCCGCAGCUGUCGGGCGGCAGGUGCCUGACCCCACAGGACACAAUUGUACACAAACAGCCUUCCUGCCUGUUGACUUUGGGUGUCUGUUUUCUGUGUUUGUUUAGGUUUUUGCCUGCUUUUAGGAACCACAAUGUGGUUUCUCAAGCUGCUCUAUUUCCUUUGGGUUGAAAACAAAAAUACAAGGUGAACCAUCAGACCAUGAUGUCCAGCUGCCCAAGUGAAACUCUGUGUGACCUCACUGAGCCACAGGCUGAUAGCAGUGCAAGGCGUCCCUCUGGACUCAGAGCCCUGCGCUCUGCUUGGGAACAUGUCACUCUGCUUCUCUGAGCCUCAGUUUCCUCCUCCAUAAAACAGGCAUAGUUUUGGCACCUGCCCCGUGGGGCAGUCUAAGAUCAAGCAGUCAAGUCAAGGUCCUGGCACAGAACCUGGCACACAAUAUGCUCAGUAAGCACAGUGCCCAUAAUCAGCCCUGUACCAGGACCACUCUGAGCUGAACUGUUCAGGCUCUGGGUCUCUUGCCACUGGCUGUAUGACCUUAGCGAAGUUACUGCACCUCUCUGGGCUCCAGAUUCUUCAGCUGCUGACUUGGGAGGCCCCGUUCCUUGGGUAAAUGAUUAUUCUGAGGAUCAAGGCCUGGGAGGUAACUACAUACAGCAGCCUGGAGUAAGGGCUGACAGGCAGGGAGGAAAGUACUAGGUCACUUCCCUGGUGGCUGUAAGGGGGGAAGGCGUGCCAGCCUGACAGAGGGCAUAGGAGCAGCGACCCUCAGGUAGCCCUGCAUCCACCCUGGAUGCCCUCCUCAGGCAGCUUCUCCCUUUGUGACAACAAGAUGGUCCCCAGCAGCCCCAGACCCCACCCUGUCCUGCAAACCCACAGGGCACUGCCCUGAGCAGCUGGCUUGUACUCUACACCACAGCAAGCAUUGAGUCCCAAGGGUUCUGACUAUACCCCAGAGGAAACAGGAGCAACUGAUUGGCUGGGUCUGGCCACACCCCAUCGGAAAUAGGAACUGAUUGGCUGGGUCUGGCCACACCCCUUUGGAAAUAGGAGCAACUGGCUGGCUGGGCCUGGCCACACCCUGUCGCAGAAUCACAGGAAGAGGACCUGGAUACUGUGCUGCUCACAGCAUCACCCUUGGCGCAUCCCAGAAGACCUGGGGAUCAUGGCUUCCUGAGCUCCACCAGGCCACCCGUCAGGGUCCAGAGCCCCCUUGGGAAUUAUUUGUGCAACAACAAGCUUGGACAGCUCCACACUGGGGAGAGACAGCAGGGCUUAUUUGAAAGAUCCUUCCAGUGGCUUCCUGUAUGGUAACAAGGCAUCCCUGUCCACCUGUCCUGGAAUUUCCCCUAUUGGCACUAUUGUUUUCUGAGGAAAAGGCACUAUUGUUUUGUAGCAUACCUAGUUCCAGGUUGUUUCCUCUGAGAUUCUUGUUGCUGCACCCCCAGUACCAAGACUACAGCUGGCAUGUUGCAGAUGCACUGGUGAUGUUUGUUGAGUGAAUGACUGAGGGAGACAGCAGCCAGUCAGCAGUUUUGCUCCUAACUCCUAGGGGACUGUCGCUGCUCAGCUCAUAGAGGGCACUCAGAGAGCAGCCACUGAUGGUUUAUGGUUAUGGUUGUGGUUGUGCCUGGCAGUUUCUCUGGGUUCAGGAGAAGUCUUGUCCCUUGCUGACCCCCACCCUCUCUGGUAUCUGUGCUUCAGUAUUUCCAUUUUUAUGCCAUUUCUUCAGGUCACCUUGUAGAUCUCUACCUAAAGGGGUAGAGAUGGUCCCGUGCAGCUCCUGGCCUGUAGCGUGGGGACACAGGGGCAAAUGUCUGGCGCAUGCAAGGCUCCAAGCUUGCAGCUUAUCUCAACCCCAACACUGCGGUAGCAGCUCAGAGGGGCCUGAGUUCGGGCACAUGAGACAAGGCGUCAGGCAACCCCGUGAGCUCCAGAUCACGGGGGCUGAGCAAGGGGAAGAGAGGCCCUGGGCCAGCGGUCAGCCUUGACCCUUGGCCGUUGAGGCAGCUGACCACAGACUGGGCCUUUGCCUUCCUUCACUGCUGUUGGAACAGACCCCACCCUCUCUGUCGCUCUGCUCUCAGCAAACUGCCUGACAUUAAACAAAGGUGCACCUUGUCUGCAGAAGCCCUGGGAGAAGGUGCAAGGCGGUCCUGUUUGUACAGCAGGGCUUGGGACAAGUGAAGGGAGGAUUUAGCAGGGUGAAAGGCUGGACUCUGGACUCAGACUCUGGUUCGCAGCCUUGCUCCACCACUUAUUAACAGGGGACUGUGGGCAGUUUAGGGAGCCUCUUUAGGCCUCUGGGUCCACAUCUGCAGAGUGGGGUGAUCAUCGCAGCUGUUCUAGAAGACAAUGUGAGAUACCUGGCCAAGACUGCCCAUUCCAUCCAUGUUAGUGGUUCUUAUUGUGACCUGGCCCUCCUGUGAAGUGUGUAACCCCAAUCUGUAACAGAGACACACUGUCUAUACCCGGGGGACUCCAGAAGCUCUGAGAGCUGAACUCUGAGAUGUCAGAGUAGGGAUUCUUGUCCCAGGGACAGUCUGUGCAAAACCAGUGAGCCCCUGACUGUACAAGCUUGGCCUCGGGCCAUAAUGCGCCCUCACGCCAAUGAUUAAUCCUAAUCUCAGAACCAGGGUGUUACCUUGUGUGGUAAAGGACCUUUGAACACGUGAUUAUGUCAUGGAACUUGAGAUGAGAUUUCUUGGGUCACUGGGUUGGCAGGACACAGUCCCAGGGUCUUAGGAAGUGGGGUGCAGGCCAGAGUCAGGAUGACAGAAGCAGUGGUCAGAGGUCCUGUAGCAGCUGGGAAAGCAAGGAAAUAGGUUUCUCCCCUGAGGCCCCAAAAGGAACCCAGCCCCUCCUAAUGAACUCUAAGAGAAUAAGUCUGGGUUGCUUUGGGCCACUGUGCUUGUGGUCAUUCAUUUAUUAUAGCAGCAGCAGGAAAGCUGACACAGCCCUUCACAGGAGGGGUCAGAAUCUCACUAUUUUCACCUGUGUGGACCAUCAGGGCAGUCGCUGGUGCAGGCAUCCUGCCUGGCCCCUGGGAGACCCUGCUGGUGCCACGACAGCCUUUUCCUCCUCCUCUUCUUCCUCUUCCUCUUCCUCCUCCCUCCUCCUGCUCCUUCUCUUCCUCAGGCCUCCAUGUUCCUAUGUGGCAUAUCUGAAAUGCAGCCACAUUUUUCAGCAGUGAUUUCUUCUCUGGAAAGGACAUAGAAGUUCACAGAGCAGCCUGCCCUGUCACCUUGGGUUCCUGGUCUACCCCAGCAUUGUCCAGGAAGAAGAGAAUGCGGACCCCAGAAAUGAUUUUAAAUUUCCUGAUAGCCACAGCUUUUUAAAAAUGGACAAAGAAACAGGCCAAUUUUCAAUAGCAUAUUUAACUAAAUCCAUCCAAAAUGCACCAUUUCAAUAUGUUAACUUUUUUGUUUUUGUUUUUGUUUUUUUGAGAUAGUAUCUUGCUAGGCUGGCCUUGAACUCACUGUGGAGUCCAGACUAGCCUCAAACUCACAGUGAUUCUCCUGCCUCAGCCUCCCAAGUGCUGAGAUUACAGGCGUGCACCCCCAUACCUGACAACAUGUAAUUAAUAUUAAAAAGCUAC
rnacentral:lncRNA from 1 species